CGCGCCGGGGCCGCUCCCCCACACUGAGGGACAGCACCACCCAGAACACAGAUGACCUGCUGGUGGCCUCUGCUGAGUGUCCAAGUGAUGAUGAGGACCUGGAGGAGUGUGAGCCCAGUACUGCCAACCCCACAGGGCCUGGGGAGCGGGGCCCGCCGGGCGCAGUGGAGGUGAUCCGGGAGUCCAGCAGCACCACGGGCAUGGUGGUGGGCAUUGUGGCGGCGGCGGCACUCUGCAUCCUCAUCCUCCUCUACGCCAUGUACAAGUACCGCAAUCGUGACGAGGGCUCCUACCAGGUGGACCAGAGCCGGAACUACAUCAGUAACUCGGCCCAGAGCAAUGGGGCGGUGGUGAAAGAGAAGGCCCCGGCUGCCCCCAAGACGCCCAGCAAGGCCAAGAAGAACAAAGACAAGGAGUAUUACGUCUGAGCCCCCGGCACUGCGCCCCACUGCCAGCUGCCCCUCCUGGGAGGGCCCGGGAGGAGGGUGCCACCCUCUCCCUGCCAGGGGCCUGGGGACCCUCUCCCUGGCUGCCUCAGGCUUCUCUUACAAAGAGGAAACGCAAAAAAAGAAAAGGAAAA
rnacentral:sRNA from 1 species